UACGUAGGUGGCAAGCGUUGUCCGGAUUUACUGGGUGUAAAGGGCGCGUAGGCGGGAGAGCAAGUCAGAUGUGAAAUGUCGGGGCUUAACCCUGGAACUGCAUUUGAAACUGUUCUUCUUGAGUAUCGGAGAGGCAGGCGGAAUUCCUAGUGUAGCGGUGAAAUGCGUAGAUAUUAGGAGGAACACCAGUGGCGAAGGCGGCCUGCUGGACGACAACUGACGCUGAGGCGCGAAAGCGUGGGGAGCAAACAGG
rnacentral:rRNA from 1 species